CAAAACGUAGCUUAACUAAAGCAUCUUGCUUACACCAAGAGUAUACCUGUUAAACCCAGGUCGUUCUGA
rnacentral:tRNA from 1 species